GCCUGUUUAGCUCAGUGGUAGAGCGCGCCACUCGUAAUGGUGAGGCCGGUUGUUCAAUCCAGCCAACAGGCA
rnacentral:tRNA from 1 species